rnacentral:rRNA from 1 species
GACGAACGCUGGCGGCGUGCUUAACACAUGCAAGUGGAGCGACGAACCGGGGCUUGCUCCGGGGCAGAGCCGCGAACGGGUGAGUAACACGUGGGUAACCCACCCCGAUGAUUGGGACAACCCCGGGAAACCGGGGCUAAUACCAAAUGUGCUCGUGAUCCAUGAGGAACUCGAGUAAAGAUAGCUUCGGCCUUCGCAUCGGGACGGGCCCGCGGCCCAUUAGCUUGUUGGUGAGGUAAUGGCUCACCAAGGCGACGAUGGGUAGCUGGUCUGAGAGGACGAUCAGCCACACUGGGACUGAGACACGGCCCAGACUCCUACGGGAGGCAGCAGUGGGGAAUCUUGCGCAAUGCGCGAAAGCGUGACGCAGCAACGCCGCGUGGGGGAAGAAGGCCUUCGGGUUGUAAACCCCUUUCAGUUGGGACGAAGCUUCAGCGGUGAAUAGCCGUAUGGAGUGACGGUACCUUCACAAGAAGCCCCGGCUAACUACGUGCCAGCCGCCGCAGUAAAAC